rnacentral:rRNA from 1 species
UGAUUAUAAACUAAUGUAUAAUUUACCAGAGUACUAUGAACACACAGUUUAAAACUCAAAGGGCUUGGCGGUGCUUUAGACUAUUCAGGGGAACCUGUCUCGUAAUCGAUAGUCCACGAUACACCUAACCUUUUUUAGUUAUCAGUAUGUAUACCGUCGUCGUCAGGUAACUUUUAAAAAUAAAGAAGUUAGCGAUAAAAAUUAUGAUAAUUUUGUACGUCAGAUCAAGGUGCAGCUUAUAAAAAGGUGAGGAUGGGUUACAAUUAAGGUUUAUAAUAACGGAAAAAAGCUUGAUACAGCUUUUAAUG